CCUACGGGAGGCAGCAGUGGGGAAUAUUGGACAAUGGGCGAAAGCCUGAUCCAGCAAUUCCGCGUGUGUGAAGAAGGCCUUCGGGUUGUAAAGCACUUUAGUGGGGGAAGAAACAGCUUGGCCACACCAAGCCUUGACGGUACCCCCAAGAAUAAGCACCGGCUAACUCUGUGCCAGCAGCCGCGGUAAUACAGAGGGUGCAAGCGUUAAUCGGAUUUACUGGGCGUAAAGGGUGCGUAGGUGGCUAUUUAAGUCGGAUGUGAAAGCCCGGGGCUCAACCUCGGAAUUGCAUUCGAUACUGAGUGGCUAGAGUUCGGUAGAGGGCGGCGGAAUUUCCGGUGUAGCGGUGAAAUGCGUAGAUAUCGGAAGGAACAUCAAUGGCGAAGGCAGCCGCCUGGGCCUGGACUGACACUGAGGCACGAAAAGCGUGGGUAGCAAACAGGAUUAGAUACCCUGGUAGUCCACGCCGUAAACGAUGAGAACUUGACGUUGGUUCGUUUUACGAAUCGGUGUCGCAGCUAACGCGAUAAGUUCUCCGCCUGGGGAGUACGGCCGCAAGGUUGAAAACUCAAAAGGAAUUGACGGCUGAGACGNGCGAGACGACACGAGGGAGGAGG
rnacentral:rRNA from 1 species